GGGAGGUGUCAUAUAUUUAUAGGAUUUCAUACUUAUGGUUUACGGGUCUUGGUUGCUCGGUGACGGUAAUAGUGGCUUGCCUUGUUAGUUUAAGAUCAUCGAAAAAUAAAAUUGACUCCAGACUUUUCGCACCAUUUCUGAGAUCUUGGUUAACGCACAAAUAUGAGGUGGAACAUAUGGAUUUAAAAAGCACUCCGAGCUGAUAAUAAAUAUUUUUUAUUAGAUUAAAUAAAAAUA